UACUUCACUUUUUGUCUACAGGCUUGUUCCUGCAGGGGACACAGAGUUUGCUAAAGAUGCUGCCUUUGGCUACAAAUCUUCGAAUCUGCAUGAUUGGGUAGAAGAGAAGACUGGUGGUCGAAUACCUGCAUCCACUGUUGCUUCUGUUUCCAUUGAACUUUUGAGGAAAGGAGGACCAGAUGCAGUUUUCUAGCAUCUAUGCAGUUUGAAAAAGGGUUCAACAUGUGUAGUUAAUGCAGCUAGUGAAAGAGAUAUGGCUGUAUUUGCACUUGGAAUGAUCAAGGUAGAAUUUCAUUCAUGUUAAUUGUAUUUAUUUGGCUCUUUUGCAUGAUUGGUAGUAUUUU